UACGUAGGGUGCAAGCGUUGUCCGGAAUUAUUGGGCGUAAAGAGCUCGUAGGCGGUCUGUCGCGUCGGCUGUGAAAACCCGGGGCUCAACCCCGGGCCUGCAGUCGAUACGGGCAGACUAGAGUGCGGUAGGGGAGACUGGAAUUCCUGGUGUAGCGGUGAAAUGCGCAGAUAUCGGGAGGAACACCGGUGGCGAAGGCGGUUCUCUGGGCCUGACCUGACGCUGAGGAGCGAAAGCGUGGGGAGCGAACAGG
rnacentral:rRNA from 1 species